rnacentral:rRNA from 1 species
CACGUAGGGGGCAAGCGUUGUCCGGAUUUAUUGGGCGUAAAGAGCUCGUAGGCGGCUCAGUAAGUCAGGUGUGAAACCUCCAGGCUCAACCUGGAGACGCCACCCGAUACUGUCAUGACUAGAGUCCGGUAGGGGAGCGUGGAAUUCCUGGUGUAGCGGUGAAAUGCGCAGAUAUCAGGAGGAACACCAGUGGCGAAGGCGGCUCACUGGCCCGGAACUGACGCUGAGACGCGAAAGCGUGGGGAGCAAACAGG